UGAUGGCUCGGUGAGGCCUUCGGACUGGCCCAGGGAGGUCGGCAACGACCACCCAGGGCCGGAAAGUUGGUCAAACCCGGUCAUUUAGAGGAAGUAAAAGUCGUAACAAGGUCUCCGUAGGUGAACCUGCGGAGGGAUCAUU
rnacentral:rRNA from 2 species